GAGGAUGCAAGCGUUAUCCGGAUUUAUUGGGUUUAAAGGGUGCGUAGGCGGACCAGUAAGUCAGCGGUAAAAAUGCGGUGCUCAACGCCGUAGUGCCGUUGAAACUGCAGGUCUUGAGUGAGCGAGAAGUAUGCGGAAUGCGUGGUGUAGCGGUGAAAUGCAUAGAUAUCACGCAGAACUCCGAUUGCGAAGGCAGCAUACCGGCGCUCAACUGACGCUGAGGCACGAAAGCGUGGGGAGCGAA
rnacentral:rRNA from 1 species